rnacentral:rRNA from 1 species
CGAAAGCUGCGCUAAUACCGCAUACGCCUGAGGGAAGCGGGGACCGUAAGGCCUCGCGCGAUUAGAGCGGCCGAUAUCUGAUUAGCUUGUUGGUAGGGUAAAGCCCACCAAGGCGACGAUCAGUAGCUGGUCUGAGAGGACGAUCAGCCACACUGGGACUGAGACACGGCCCAGACUCCUACGGGAGGCAGCAGGUGGGUAAUUUGGACAAUGGGGGCAACCCUGAUCCAGCAAUGCCGCGUGAGUGAAGAAGGCCUUCGGGUUGUAAAGCUCUUUUGUCAGGGAAGAAACAGCAGCUCUAACACAGUCUGCGAAUGACGGUACCUGAAGAAUAAGCACCGGCUAACUACGUG